rnacentral:piRNA from 1 species
AGCAGGCAACACAGAACUAUCUU